UUUGAGUUUGAUCCUGGCUCAGAUUGAACGCUGGCGGCAUGCCUUACACAUGCAAGUCGAACGGCAGCACGGGAGCAAUCCUGGUGGCGAGUGGCGAACGGGUGAGUAAUACAUCGGAACGUGUCCUGUAGUGGGGGAUAGCCCGGCGAAAGCCGGAUUAAUACCGCAUACGCUCUACGGAGGAAAGGGGGGGAUCUUCGGACCUCUCGCUACAGGGGCGGCCGAUGGCAGAUUAGCUAGUUGGUGGGGUAAAGGCCUACCAAGGCGACGAUCUGUAGCUGGUCUGAGAGGACGACCAGCCACACUGGGACUGAGACACGGCCCAGACUCCUACGGGAGGCAGCAGUGGGGAAUUUUGGACAAUGGGGGCAACCCUGAUCCAGCAAUGCCGCGUGUGUGAAGAAGGCCUUCGGGUUGUAAAGCACUUUUGUCCGGAAAGAAAACUUCGGCCCUAAUACGGCGGGAGGAUGACGGUACCGGAAGAAUAGCACCG
rnacentral:rRNA from 1 species